AUGUAGGGCAAUCUGACUUUAAGUAGAGAUAAAUUACUCUUAAUGAAAAAAAUAAAAGGAAUCCUAGAUAGUUUUCACUUGAAGUGUCUUAU
rnacentral:pre_miRNA from 1 species